GAAGACGCCAAGAUGGCGACGAGUCAGUAUUUCGACUUCGCGCAGGGCGGCGGCCCGCAGUACAGCGCCCAGCCUCCGACCCUUCCCCUGCCCACUGUGGGGGCCAGCUAUACUGCACAGCCCACUCCUGGGAUGGACCCUGCCACGAACCCAGCCUUUCCCCCAGCUGCCCCGGCAGGGUACGGUGGAUACCAGCCCCACUCCGGCCAGGACUUCGCCUAUGGCAGCCGACCCCAGGAGCCCAUCCCCACGGCCACCACUAUGGCUACUUACCAGGACAGUUACAGCUACGGACAGUCAGCAGCUGCCAGGAGCUAUGAGGACAGGCCCUACUUCCAGCCUCCUGCCCUCCAGCCUGGGCACAUGACAGCCACAGACUCCUGCCAGCCAGGCGCCCAUAGCGGAGUCCGGACAGCCAGCGAGCGCCUUGUCCUCGGGAUACACCUACCCCACGGCGACAGGCGUCCAGCCCGAGUCCUCGGCUUCCAUCGUGACCUCCUACCCCCCGCCCACCUACAGUCCCACCUGCGCCGCCUACACGGCACCAAGCUACCAGAGCUAUGACGCAUCGGUGUACUCCGCCGCCAGCCCUUUCUAU
rnacentral:sRNA from 1 species